AUUGAACGCUGGCGGCAUGCCUUACACAUGCAAGUCGAACGGCAGCACGGGAGCAAUCCUGGUGGCGAGUGGCGAACGGGUGAGUAAUAUAUCGGAACGUGCCCAGUCGUGGGGGAUAACGCAGCGAAAGCUGUGCUAAUACCGCAUACGAUCUAAGGAUGAAAGCGGGGGAUCGCAAGACCUAGCGCGAUUGGAGCGGCCGAUAUCAGAUUAGCUAGUGGGUGGGGUAAAGGCCCACCAAGGCGACGAUCUGUAGCUGGUCUGAGAGGACGACCAGCCACACUGGAACUGAGACACGGUCCAGACUCCUACGGGAGGCAGCAGUGGGGAAUUUUGGACAACGGGCGCAAGCCUGAUCCAGCAAUGCCGCGUGCAGGAUGAAGGCCUUCGGGUUGUAAACUGCUUUUGUACGGAACGAAACGGCCCUUUCUAAUACAGGGGGCUAAUGACGGUACCGUAAGAAUAAGCACCGGCUAACUACGUGCCAGCAGCCGCCGUAA
rnacentral:rRNA from 1 species